GAUGAACGCUGGCGGCGUGCCUAAUACAUGCAAGUCGAGCGAACGGACGAGAAGCUUGCUUUUCUGAUGUUAGCGGCGGAAGGGUGAGUAAAACGUGGAUAACCUACCUAUAAGACUGGGAUAACUUCGGGAAACCGGAGCUAAUACCGGAUAAUAUUUUGAACCGCAUGGUUCAAAAGUGAAAGACGGUCUUGCUGUCACUUAUAGAUGGAUCCGCGCUGCAUUAGCUAGUUGGUAAGGUAACGGCUUACCAAGGCAACGAUGCAUAGCCGACCUGAGAGGGUGAUCGGCCACACUGGAACUGAGACACGGUCCAGACUCCUACGGGAGGCAGCAGUAGGGAAUCUUCCGCAAUGGGCGAAAGCCUGACGGAGCAACGCCGCGUGAGUGAUGAAGGUCUUCGGAUCGUAAAACUCUGUUAUUAGGGAAGAACAUAUGUGUAAGUAACUGUGCACAUCUUGACGGUACCUAAUCAGAAAGCCACGGCUAACUACGUG
rnacentral:rRNA from 1 species